AGAGUUUGAUCCUGGCUCAGGACGAACGCUGGCGGCGUGCUUAACACAUGCAAGUCGAGCGGAAAGGCCCUUCGGGGUACUCGAGCGGCGAACGGGUGAGUAACACGUGAGUAACCUGCCCUCAACUUCGGGAUAAGCCUGGGAAACCGGGUCUAAUACCGGGUAGGACCUGCGGUGGCAUCGCUGUGGGUGGAAAGUUUUUUCGGUUGGGGAUGGGCUCGCGGCCUAUCAGCUUGUUGGUGGGGUAGUGGCCUACCAAGGCGACGACGGGUAGCCGGCCUGAGAGGGCGACCGGCCACACUGGGACUGAGACACGGCCCAGACUCCUACGGGAGGCAGCAGUGGGGAAUAUUGCGCAAUGGGCGGAAGCCUGACGCAGCGACGCCGCGUGGGGGAUGACGGCCUUCGGGUUGUAAACCUCUUUCAGCAGGGACGAAUUCGGACGUGUACCUGUAGAAGAAGCGCCGGCUAACUACGUGCCAGCAGCCGCGGUAAUACGUAGGGCGCGAGCGUUGUCCGGAAUUAUUGGGCGUAAAGAGCUCGUAGGUGGCUUGUCGCGUCUGCCGUGAAAGCCCAUGGCUUAACUGUGGGUCUGCGGUGGAUACGGGCUGGCUAGAGGUAGGUAGGGGCAAGCGGAAUUCCUGGUGUAGCGGUGAAAUGCGCAGAUAUCGGAGGAACACCGGUGGCGAAGGCGGCUUGCUGGGCCUUACCUGACGCUGAGGAGCGAAAGCGUGGGGAGCGAACAGGAUUAGAUACCCUAGUAGUCC
rnacentral:rRNA from 1 species